rnacentral:tRNA from 1 species
ACGGGUGUAGCUCAAUCGGCAGAGCACCGGUCUCCAAAACCGGAAGAUGCGGGUUCAACUCCUGCUGCCCGUGC